UUAAGAGAGCCUUUUCAGGCGGUGCAUUGAUUCUUACAACUAUGGAUGGUGAAAAGUUCACUCGUCCUGUGAAUACAAAUGUAGUCAAGAAAUACUUCGCCUAAAAAAGAAAAAAAAAGAACAACUCGCUAAGUUGAAAACCCGAAAGGGCGGCUUAGGCAAAAAUGAGUGUCUCGGUGGAUUGAAAACUCGAAAGGGCG
rnacentral:lncRNA from 1 species